rnacentral:rRNA from 1 species
GAUGAACGCUGGCGGAGUGCCUAACACAUGCAAGGCGAGCGAACCAUUCGGGGUGAGCGGCGGACGGGUGGGUAACGAGUGGGUAACCUGCCCUAUACACACGGAUAACGUACCGAAAGGUACGGUAAUACGGGAUAAAGUUGUUGGAUGGCAUCUUCUACCUAUCAAAGCUCUGGCGGUAGAGGAUGGACCCGCUACUGGUUAGCUAGUUGGUGAGGUAAUGGCUCAUCAAGGCGACGAUCAGUAGCAGAACUGAGAGGGUGAUCGGCCACACUGGAACUGAGACACGGUCCAGACUCCUACGGGGGGCAGCAGUGGGGAAUAUUGCACAAUGGGCGAAAGCCUGAUGCAGCAACGCCGCGUGAGCGAUGAAGGUCUUCGGAUCGUAAAGCUCUGUCCUCAAGGAAGAUAAUGACGGUACUUGAGGAGGAAGCACCGGCUAACUACGUGCCAGCCGCCGCCGUAA